CUCGCCGCAUGCAACACUUGAGGUACCAGACACUAUAAAAGCUUCAGCACCAAGUAUAUCAGCUUACUCCAUCCUGUCCCUGUGACGAGAACUCUGAUGAUGCUCGCUCGCGCACCAGCGACGUGUGCAAUGGCUCGCUCGGCAGCCCUCUUCAAAGAGGGAUGCCGGAGCUGGACCGAGGGGGAUGCGAAGAUAACCUAAUGCGAUUCAACUGGGCGCCCCAGCCACGGAGCACAGGCUGGGGCGCGUGAUGGAGGGACUCCUGCUGCAAGCACUGACCAAAGUUGUAGCAGCAGUGAUGGCUACUCCUCUGUUUGCUCUUGACCUGUAUGCACUCAUGCCAGUCCUCAUCACCAUGGGGGUGGCAUACGAAUUUCCUUGGCGACAGGUCAAAGCAAAUACUACAAGUGUGCUCCUAGUUUCUUGUCUGACUGUGCAUGAUGGCGCGACCGACCCCCGUCAACCCAUCGGCACAGUCUUCGUCUGGCCAAAAGCUUCCAAAAUGUUACCCAAAGGAGAAUCUUCCAGAAAAAACUGUCAUCCAUCUAAGAGAUUACUCUACAUGUCAAGACAACAUUUAUUCCGACAAUUCUAUCCAUUUUCGGAAAGAAAUAAAAUCUUCUUCGUUACAAAAACAGAGUCUGCAAUUAACUAUACCUGUUCACUUGGACAAUACUGGGGAAAAUACUCUAUCAGAAGACAAGCAAGAUCUAUCAUCACCUUAUUUGAAAUUUUUAAUAAAAGAGACUGAAAUAGUAUACACUGUCAGCAAUUUAUGUGAAAAUAACUUUCAUUCCAACAUUUCUAGAAGUCCAACGAGCGAAAUAAAAAGUACUGGUACAACUAAACAUUUUCCACCCAAUAACAGUCCCCAGUUAUCUUUUGUAUUCCCAUCAGAUGAGAAACCAUCAACUUCUAAGCUUUUAGAUGGGAAUAAAAACUUUACGGAAUUUAUUUUAAAGCAGACUCGGUCAUUUAAAAUAUGCAAAGAGUAUAAAUGAAAAAUACUUACUUGGAAUUCUCGCAUUAUUGGGCUCAGGCUAUUCGUACUGACAAGAAACUAAAACGGAAACGAAAACGGCGAAUUAAUGACAUAGCUAUAUAUAUAUCUAGUAUCUAACAACUAGCCUUCUUUUUCCCAUAUAUAAACAUUUAUUCUUCAUUUACCUAUUAAUCAUAUGGCAUAUUCUAUGUUUAUGCCAUUCACUCCAUUGCACUAUACCAUAUAUAACAAUAUAAAAGACAUAUAAGGUAGUGUAUGUUUUAAUAAAGCAUUUAUUACCAAAAAUUCAA